UGAAUUCCGAAAAAGCGUCGU
rnacentral:piRNA from 1 species